GGCCAGGUAGCGCAGAGGUCGUCGCGCCUCGACCUCAUCGAGGAUGACGUCGGUUCGAAUCCGACCCUGGCCU
rnacentral:tRNA from 1 species